rnacentral:rRNA from 1 species
ACGGAAGGCAGCAGUGAGGAAUAUUGGUCAAUGGGCGAGAGCCUGAACCAGCCAAGUAGCGUGCAGGAUGACGGCCCUAUGGGUUGUAAACUGCUUUUAUGUGGGAAUAAAGUGCACCACGUGUGGUGUUUUGUAUGUACCUCAUGAAUAAGGACCGGCUAAUUCCGUGCCAGCAGCCGCGGUAAUACGGAAGGUCCGGGCGUUAUCCGGAUUUAUUGGGUUUAAAGGGAGCGUAGGCCGCUUGUUAAGCGUGUUGUGAAAUGUCGCGGCUCAACCGGGGCACUGCAGCGCGAACUGGCAGGCUUGAGUGCGCAGGAAGUGGGCGGAAUUCGUGGUGUAGCGGUGAAAUGCUUAGAUAUCACGAAGAACUCCGAUUGCGAAGGCAGCUCACUGUAGCGUAACUGACGCUGAUGCUCGAAAGUGUGGGUAUCGAACAGGAUUAGAUACCCUGGUA